rnacentral:lncRNA from 1 species
CUAAAACAGAAGGGUGGCCCGAGAACAACAUGCAAAGCUGUAGCCAUGGACAACAGACGCCACAAUGCCAGGCAUUCCAGAAGCAGCCUGGCCUUCAUACUCAAAACUGUGCAGAGUUCAAAGGAGGUUUGCAAGCACCUAAGCUCUUCUGAGCUACCAGAACUUCUCUGCCCUGCUUUUACAGAGGACACCGACACAGGAUUUGCAUUUGCAAUUUGUGGUUUUCCUGAAGCAAAGAAGGUCUCUCAAGCCACUGAAGUUUCCAUUUCUGCCCUGAGAGGAUGACAGUUGGACAAAACCUUGCAGUCUUAAUGUACGUUCCGAUGACUGCUGGCCAGCCACAGCCCUGGGGUGAUUUGACGUCUCACUCAGAUCCUUUAACAGAUAUUUAUAUUAUCAAAGUCACUUUGGGGGUGUACCUUCCAGUCUCCUAGCAAGACCAAAAUCAAAGCAAGAGAGCAAGGUAACUGGGAACAAUGUCAUGCAUCACAUUGGAACUGCUGAGCCUUCUAGGUACUAGGGGGAUUUCUUGUAUUUUCUUGCUAGCCUGCUCCCAGGUA